rnacentral:rRNA from 1 species
GAUGAACGCUGGCGGCGUGCCUAACACAUGCAAGUCGAACGAAGCAUAACGACUCGAUUUCUUCGGAAUGAAGGUGGUUUUGACUGAGUGGCGGACGGGUGAGUAACGCGUGGGCAACCUGCCUUACACAGGGGGACAACAGCUGGAAACGGCUGCUAAUACCGCAUAAGCGCACGGUACCGCAUGGUACAGUGUGAAAAACUCCGGUGGUGUAAGAUGGGCCCGCGUCUGAUUAGGUAGUUGGCGGGGUAACGGCCCACCAAGCCGACGAUCAGUAGCCGACCUGAGAGGGUGACCGGCCACAUUGGGACUGAGACACGGGCCCCAAAACUCCUACGGGAGGCAGCAGUGGGGAAUAUUGCACAAUGGGCGCAAGCCUGAUGCAGCGACGCCGCGUGAGCG